rnacentral:misc_RNA from 1 species
AGACACACCGCGGCACCAGUGCUCUGCCCCAACCGCCCGCCCGCCCUUCACAUCCCUAAACCCAAAGAAGAACAUAUUGCCACGCAGAGAGUAAGACUCCCGCGCGCGCUCGCGAUGCUCAGCAACACCAAGGGAUAUCAACGCUUCUCCCACACCCUCGGCUUCCACAGUGAUGACCUCUCGAAGCUCAGCAAGGUUUGUCACCAGUGGUGCGAGACAGGCAAGUGCAAGGCGUACAACAAGGAGCAGGAAGUGCGUCGCGAGAUUGCUGCUGCCAAGGAGGCGGAGCUGCUGAAGAAGGCGACCGCCCUCUACACCAUGCACAUGGAACUCAUGGCAGACAUGGCCGGUGCAGACGGGGACGACGCGGAGGCGCUUGAGCUGAUGCAGAGCGCCAUGUCACGCGGUAGCUUCCCUGCCGACCCCGCCAAGCGGGAGGAGGUAAUCAGCAAGCUUGUCGAGGAGCUGAAGCAGGAGCCGGUCUACCUCAACUGGAGCCUUGAUGCCGCAGUGGCGGAGCGGCUCGUGGAGCUCAAGGUGAAGCGGUGCCCGUACAACCAUCGCGGGGCUCUGAACUUAGCGCUGAAGCGCGGCCGCAGUGAGGAGGACGAGGAGGAGAUGCUGCACCGGAGUGAAGAAGAGGUGCUGAGAGGGUCUUCCACCAACGGCGCAGCGGCUGCGUCCUCAUCAUCGGCGGUAGCCACCACCACAGCCGCAGGACCAGCGAAGGACACUGGCGACGACAGCGACGGUGGCUGGGCUGAAGCGAGGCACCGCAUCUUCCGCACUCUCACGCCGCUUCAGCGCUGCGUCGUGUGUCUGCUGUGGCAACGCACCUUCCAGGUGGCGCAAGGGCUGGUGAUGGACGUGCGGCUGGCCUUGGAAAAGCGGGUAACGGCGCAGCACAAGGCCACCGGCAGGGUGGAGCCGCCGUCGAUUUCGUGCAGCGGCGUGGCGGCACAGUCAUCGUCCCAUCGCCCACAUGGCGGCAGCCAGAACGACGUGAAGGACGCAGACGGCGAAGAUGCGUUGGAGGCGUACCUCAGCUCACCUGCCUUCGAGGAACUGGUGGAGCGAGAGACGAAGCGGGUGGUGCCGCGCGUGGCCUUUCGGCCUGAGUUCGGACUCGUUGAUCUGAGUGCUCUGCCGCAGCUCGUGGCGCACCUAAGCGCCCACCCGACAUGCGGCAUCUUUCUGGCGCGCACGCUGACAUACUUUACUGGCAAGGCGCUGAAGCGUGACGGCUCUUCGCCGUCCGCAGCACCAGCAGCGGCAUCGAGUCUCUCCAAACACCAGAGCGACGACGCGCCGGCCCCCGAAAGCUUCCACCACCUUCUCUUCCCGAGCCGCAAGCUUAUCACGGAAAAGGAGCUGGACCUCAGCACCAGCACCUGCGCCGAUGAAGUGAUCGAGGCGAUCGAGUGGGCGCUGCACGUGUACCACCGCCAUGGACAACCGCACGCCGAAACCGAGAGGGCGGAGGGGAAGGGUGAGUGGGGUAUGACCGGCGACGAGCGCCGAUUGUGCAAGGCAAGCGACACCGCAUCGGCUCACGUCACGGCGCUGUUCCGCAAUCAGCGCAUCCGCCUACACGGGCUCACGCUGACACAGUGCAAGAUUACCUCGGCAGACGGCAUCGUGGAGUCACUGCAUAAACGGCACAUGGAGCAGUACCUGUACGCACUCGACCUCUCAGAGAACCGGCUGUGGUCGCUGCGCUUCCUGCUGGUGCUCCGGGCCCACUACGCUCGCCGCCUGCUGCGCCUCUCUCUCCGUAACAACCCCAUCACACGCAAGCCCGAGUACCAAGAGCAAGUUCGCGCCUCACUGCCACAGCUGACCUCCCUCGACGGCGAGCCGAUCCGCCGUCCCCCACUGCGGUUUCCGAAGCCGUGGCCGACCUCGUGCACGCGCUGGAUCGCCGACGAGGGAACGCCGGAACAUCAGGAGCAGGAGUCGGUGCUCGACUGCGUGGCGCGCCUCCUGUACAUCUGGGAGACGCGCCGCAUCCCCCACACCGCGAGGGAGUUGGCCGCCUUCCGUGACGCCGGCCAUCCAGCCACGGAGGAGGAGGCGCUCAACGAGGACAAUUUCCCGCACCGCUACCUCCACCCGGCCGCCGCCUUCAGCGUGACCGUAUCGCCGAGCCUCAGCUUCUACGACGCAGCCACCAUGCGGGAUGCGCGCAGCGUGGAGCUCGAUAAGGACUACACUGGCAUGCGGUUGAGCGCCGUGGACGUGCGCGACGCGCGUGUGUUCAAUGUUGCCAUGAAGAACAGCUCACGCAACCUGCUGGCUGGUAGGCAGGCACUGCAGCGCUUCGGCCGCGGUGCCGAGAACUGCUACAUGGCCUACCAGCUCACCCUCUACCCGGAGAGGAUGGACGUGUCGCACCAUCUGACGGACGCCGUCGUGUCGGUGGCACGUGUGCCACAGGUCGUUAACGCCGCGGUCUCUGGGGGCAAAGCAGCAGCGGCUGGGAAGCGCAAGAAGAGUGCCGCCGAUCCUGGCGUCGCCAGAGCCGCGGGCUCUGGCAAGACGUCGAGCCACGGCAGCCCCACGAGUGCGCGCUUCGGCGCCCUUGCUCACCGUAACCCUCCGUUGCAGCAGCAUGUGGUGACGCUCCAUGGCAUCAUGACGUGGCGGCUGCCCAGUAUGAAGCGCCACGAGUGCAUGCAAGCAUCCUACACUCGGGUGUUGGCCUUCACCAAGAAGGUGCUGCCUGACCAGAACCGCGAGUGGGAGCGGCUGCGCAGCCCUCCCUAUGUGCUCAUGAACGACCAGGUGUUCUUGUACCCGGCGCCGACUGCUGGUGCGGCGGUGGCGGCCACUGCACUGCUGUCUUCGGUGUUCGCGGCAAACACCGCGACGCGUCUGUCACGGCUUGUCGUGGAAUUCGGGCUAGAGGCGUGCCGCGAUGGCGUGGCGCUCGUGCGCGACGUCAUGGAGCGCUGCACAAGCCCCGCCUCCGAGUAUGCUGCGCUGCAGGCGCUGGUGCUCGGCGUGCUUGGCCCUCGCGAGGAAACCGACGAAGCCGAGGAAGCAGCGCAGCUGGCAUGCGCUCAGGCAGCGGAAGCACAGCUGGCGCCCCUCUUCGCUGACUAUCUUCGCCGUUCGCCGCCACCUGCGACGGCGCACUCUCGCGAGUACAUGAUUUUCUCGAUGCUGGAUGGUGUCGCGGCGACGACACCAGUGGAGCCGGCAGUGCACACAACGGGACUGACGCAGCACCAAAGAGGCGUGACAUCAGCCGUGAAGAGGUUGAAAGCACCUGCGGUUACUGCUGCCCCUUCUGCACCGCACAAGGCGUCAGAGAAGGCGGCGGAUGCGCAGACGUGGGCAUCUGCAGUGCACGUCGUCUCGCUGCCACUCCUGCACCAGGUGACGGACAUCACCAACGUAUGCUACACGUUGUCCUUUCACUAAUGUCCCUCAUCAGCAUGUCUUUCCGGCCCUACCUUGGUAGGACGGCAGCCAGAGAGAGAGAGGUGAGGGAGCCGGGACAGAGGUGUCGAGGAGGCACCAGCGCCGCUGCCACGACUGCUCCGGUGACUGCGGACGGUGCCGUUGAUCCGCUCACGCGAAUCGUCGCCGCUGUGCAUCUGCGCGCGUGUCUUUCGUUUUGUUCAGUUAAGCAACUAAGGCAGCAGCCUGCCCCCAC